rnacentral:lncRNA from 10 species
CUCUGAGAAAAGUGCAUCACAGUGGCCCAUUAUGAUGUCUGUCUAUGGUCACGUGAGCUGGCAUAUGAGAGUGCUCUGUGAGCCUCAGUGCCUUCAGUGGCAUCAUUGCACUGUGACUGUGCAGGUCCCAAACAGUAUGGACAUGAAUGUCCUCAAGCUGCAUGUUAGCAGGGCUUCUAAUUCCAUCUGCAAGUGAUAGUGUGUGGAGCUUAGUUGCACAGAGCGCAUGUUACUGGAGGAGAUAUGGGUCUGUGUCAUCCUGCAUGGGAAUGAUCCUAAAAACAAAGUGAUCAGUGACUGCUCAGGACUGUGGAAAGGUCACUUGGAGCAGUGGGAAAAGGUCUGGCAGAGGAAUAAGAAGAUACAGGUCUUAGAACAAGCCCUGGGACUUCAACCAAGUCAUUUAACAUCUGGGGCCUUCGUUUAUUUAUCCUCCCAGCAGAUAAAGCAAUACCUGCCCUGUCUUCCUAACCUUGGAGGGGUCAAAAAAGUGAUGGGUGUGAAAGCAUUUUGUAAACUGUAGUGCAAGCAUACGGCAGGGGAGUGAACCAUACUUUCACUAGCGACUUGAAUGAGGUGAUAAAGAAAAGGCUCAGAACUUCAGAAAAUGCAAGAGGGGCUUGACCCUGGAUUGGCAGAGGAAAGCAAUGGUGGGAUCGAUACCUUGGAGAGCCAAGGACCAAGGGGUUAAGGGUCCAUGAGGACAGGCCUGGAUCAUCAGGAAGCUGAGUGUGGUAAGACUGUGGCUUCUUCAGGGAUUGGGUGGAGUACAGUCCUGCCAAGACCACAGUAACUCAGGGCUUGGAGACAUCACAAAGGCAGGGGCUCCUAGAGCUGAGAUAAUCUGGAGAAGAGGAUACCCAUCUACUGCAUUCUGAGAUUGGGUUCGACCUGUAGGUCAUCUUGGAUAGACGUUUUCCAGCUCUUCUUUUUUUUUUUUUUUGGAACAGAGAGAACCUAAUUGACCCUUAAAGUUCCACAGAGCAGAGUUUGCAAAUCUCUGGUUCAGCCUUAUUAUUUAAAUGAGAGGAGAAUGAAAUCCCAGAAAAGAGAUGUGAUUAUGUGAAGGUCACACAGCAAGUUAGUUGCCAAGCUGCAACUGGAACUCAGAAUUUCUGGUUCCCAGUUCUAUAUCUUAGCCUCCCAAACUGGCUAUGUGGACAGGAAAGAACAGAGUAAUGGGGAUUCCAAGAGUCUCAAGGUUAGAGAAGUCGCCUAGUCCACCUCCCCUCUCUGCUUCUCACAGAAGGGUCUGCUGAACACUCUGGUGACAGAGAACUCACCCAACAUGUUCCAUGGCAGAGGCUUUUCAUUAGAUCAAGGUGACAUCUGUUUUACUGGAGCUUCCAACCACGUGUCCCAAUACUGCCCUUAGUCACAGGCAUCCAGGUCCUCUCUCUCAGGACAGCACUUUGAAUAAAUGAGGACAGCUCCCAUCCCCCUUUCUCCCAGUUGACUUUCCAGAAACAUCUCAUAUUGUUGUUGGCUUUCCACCAUUUUUCCUCUUCACUUCCUGGGCCUACUACUACACUGUGUGUCCUCCACUUGGUCUCUUCCUGAAAGCAACACUGUGCACAAUGUUCCUGGGGGCAGACUUAUUAAACCAAGUGGACCACUUCCUUCAUCUUAGGUGUCACAGCUCCAUCAAUGCAUCCUCAAAUCACAAUGAUUUUUCUGCACUUCACCCUACAGGUUCCUAUUUAACGUUACAUUGGCUAGGACAUUACUCAUUUACACACAGGCUCUGCUGAGCCCCAUCUUUGCCAAGACUCUGACUUCUGUUGUUUCAUUUAAAGAUGUAAGAACAGGGCCUCACAGUUCUUCCUAAGGAAUUUUACUUUGUGGCUGGGUGCGGUGGCUCACACCUGUAAUUCCAGCACUUUGGGAGGCCAAGUCAGGUGGAUGACUUGAGGUCAGGAGUUCGAGACCAGCCUGGCCAUCAUGAUGAAACCCCACCUCUACUAAAAAUACAAAAAUUAGCCGGGUGUGGUGGCAAGCACCUAUAUCCCAGCUACUUGGCAGGUUGAGGCAGGAGAAUCGCUUGAGCCCGGGAGGCAGAGGUUGCAGUGAGCCGAGAUCAUUGCACUCCAGCCUGGGCAACAGAGUGAGACUCCAUCUCAAACAAACAAACAAACAAAAAACAAAAACAACACAAAACAACAACAACAAAAACCAGAAAUUUUACUUUGCUACAUUCAGCCCAUAAUUUUUAGCAACCCAGAUCUUUCUGGAUCCUGGCUGUAUCUUCUCAGUGUGUUUCUUCUUCCUCCCAGUUUCCUGACCCCUGCAAAUAGGGCUGUAAAGAGGCUCUCUGAUGCUGCACCCCCUCCCUCAUUGCCACCAUGCAAAUCACAGAGGACCCCCACCAGGCCAGACUGGCUCACCUGCUUGAUGAAUGCACCAGCCCACUCUCCCAUCCGGGGAGGCCUGUCGGGCAUAAUGAUGUGGAACAUACUUGUUUUCUAUUCAGCUACGAAAGCAGGGUAUUAUCAAAUUUUAAAAGGCAUCGGCCAGGCACUGUGGCACAUACCUGUAAAACCAGGCACUUUGGGAGGCCAAAGUGGGUGGAUCGCUUGAGCCCAGGAGUUCAAGACCAGCCUGGGCAACAUGGCAAAACCCCGUCCCCUCUGCAAAACACACAAAAAUUAGCUGGGGAUGGUGGCACAGGCCUGUAGUCUCAGUUUCUCGGGAAGUUGAAGUGGAAGGAUCACUUGAGCCCGAGAGGCGGAGGUUGCAGUGAGCUGAAAUCCCACCACUGCACUCGGCCUGGCAGCCUGGGCAACAGAGAGAGACACUGCCUCAAAAAAAAUAAAUAAAAGGCAUCGAGAAAAGAAAGGGAGGAAGGGAGGAUUUUGACAAAAAAUUAUCAAUAGUAACAGUGGCGUCUGUGUAACAGGACUAUAGGUUUGGCUUUUUUAUUUAUUUAUUUAUUUAUUUUUUUGAUGGAAUCUUGCUCUGUCGCCCAGGCUGGAGUGCAGUGGUGCGAUCUCGGCUCACUGCAACCUCUGCCUCCCGGUUCAAGCGAUUCUCCUGCCUCAGCCUCCCAAGUAGCUGGGACUACAGGCGCCCGCCACCACGCUCGGCUAAUUUUUUGUAUUCUUAGUAGAGACGGGGUUUCACUGUGUUAGCCAGGAGGGUCUCGAUCUCCUGACCUCCUGAUCCGCCUGCCUCGGCCUCCCAAAGUGCUGAGAUUACAGGCGUGAGCCACCGCGCCUGGCCCCUUCAUGCGUUUUUACACGCUUCAUCCAACCAAUAGUUCAUGGAGGCCUUAGGUGUGUGUUUCCAAAUUUUCUAUGCUGAGUGUGUGUUCUUUGGAAAACCAGAAAAAAU